AGUACUGUGAAGGAAAGGUGAAAAGAACCCCGGGAGGGGAGUGAAAUAGAUCCUGAAACCGCAUACAUACAAACAGUAGGAGCCUCGUUAAGGGGUGACUGCGUACCUUUUGCAUAAUGGGUCAGCGACUUACGUUUAAUGGCGAGCUUAACCGUAUAGGGGAGGCGCAGCGAAAGCGAGUUCGAACAGAGCGUUCAGUCGUUAGGCGUAGACCCGAAACCAGAUGAUCUAUCCAUGGCCAGGUUGAAGGUGUGGUAACACACACUGGAGGACCGAACCGACUAGUGUUGCAAAAUUAGCGGAUGAGCUGUGGAUAGGGGUGAAAGGCUAAACAAAUCUGGAGAUAGCUGGUUCUCCCCGAAAACUAUUGAGGUAGUGCCUCGUGUAUGACUCCAGGGGGUAGAGCACUGUUAUGGCUAGGGGGACAUGGCGUCUUACCAAACCAUGGCAAACUCCGAAUACUUGGAAGUUUGAGCACGGGAGACAGAGCACCGGGUGCUAACGUCCGGACUCAAGAGGGAAACAACCCAGACCGCCGGCUAAGGUCCCUAAUAUUGACUAAGUGGAAAACGAAGUGGAAAGGCUAAGACAGUCAGGAAGUUGGCUUAGAAGCAGCCAUCCUUCAAAGAAAGCGUAAUAGCUCACUGAUCGAGUCUUUCUGCGCGGAAGAUGUAACGGGGCUAAGUCAAUAACCGAAGCCGCGGAUUCACACUUAUGUGUGAGUGGUAGGGGAGCGUUCUGUAAGCCUGCGAAGGUGACUCGUAAGGGUUGCUGGAGGUAUCAGAAGUGCGAAUGCUGACAUGAGUAACGUUAAAGCGGGUGAAAAGCCCGCUCGCCGUAAGCCCAAGGUUUCCUGCUCUACGUUCAUCGGAGCAGGGUGAGUCGGCCCCUAAGGUGAGGCUGAGAAGCGUAACUGAUGGGAACAAGGUUAAUAUUCCUUGACCACCGCUGAAUGCGAAGGGGGGACGGAGUAUUGAAGAUCAUCCGGGUGUUGGAUAUCCCGGUUUGCGAGCGUAGGAGGCUGACAGGCAAAUCCGUCAGCGAAUCUCCGAGGCAAAGCAUCGAGCUCUCUUUUGAGCGAAGUGAUUGGAUGUGCUUCCAGGAAAAGCCUCUAAGCUCCAGUUCAGCGGGACCGUACCGCAAACCGACACUGGUGGGCGAGCUGAAUAUGCUCAGGCGCUUGAGAGAACUCAGGAGAAGGAACUCGGCAAAUUGACACCGUAACUUCGGGAUAAGGUGUGCCUUUGUAGCGUGGAGGGAGAAACACCCCGAGCGCGAAGAGGUCUCAGAUAAUCGGUGGCUGCGACUGUUUAUUAAAAACACAGCACUCUGCAAAGACGAAAGUCGACGUAUAGGGUGUGAUGCCUGCCCGGUGCUGGAAGAUUAAUUGAUGGGGUGCAAGCUCCUGAUCGAAGUCCCAGUAAACGGCGGCCGUAACUAUAACGGUCCUAAGGUAGCGAAAUUCCUUGUC
rnacentral:rRNA from 1 species